GUCCUCAUCUCUGCCCUCUCAUACAUACUACCUGAGGUAACCUAGUCCUCAUCUCUGCCCUCUCGUACAUACUACCUGAGGUGACCUAGUCCUCAUCUCUGCCCUCUCGUACAUACUACCUGAGGUGACCUAGUCCUCAUCUCUGCCCUCUCGUACAUACUACCUGAGGUGACCUAGUCCUCAUCUCUGCC